UCAUUACACAAAUAUGAAGGCGGGCUGGCACCUCCCGGGGUGGCCAGCCUUGCUGAAUUAUUCCACCCGUGUCUUUUGCGUACUUCUUGUUUCCUUGGUGGGCUCGCCCACCACAAGGACCAACCCAUAAACCUUUUUGCAAUGGCAAUCAGCGUCAGUACAAUGUAAUAAUUUACAACUUUCAACAACGGAUCUCUUGGUUCUGGCAUCGAUGAAGAACGCAGCGAAAUGCGAUAAGUAGUGUGAAUUGCAGAAUUCAGUGAAUCAUCGAAUCUUUGAACGCACAUUGCGCCCUUUGGUAUUCCAAAGGGCAUGCCUGUUCGAGCGUCAUUUGUACCCUCAAGCUUUGCUUGGUGUUGGGCGUCUUUUUGUCUCCCCUUGCGGGAGACUCGCCUUAAAGCAUUGGCAGCCGGCCUACUGGUUUCGGAGCGCAGCACAAGUCGCGCUCUCUUCCAGCCCCAAGGUCUAGCAUCCACCA
rnacentral:rRNA from 1 species